rnacentral:rRNA from 1 species
CAGGUGCUGCAUGGCUGUCGUCAGCUCGUGUUGUGAAAUGUUGGGUUAAGUCCCGCAACGAGCGCAACCCUUAUCCUUUGUUGCCAGCGAUUCGGUCGGGAACUCAAAGGAGACUGCCGGUGAUAAACCGGAGGAAGGUGGGGAUGACGUCAAGUCAUCAUGGCCCUUACGAGUAGGGCUACACACGUGCUACAAUGGCGUAUACAAAGAGAAGCGACCUCGCGAGAGCAAGCGGAACUCAUAAAGUACGUCGUAGUCCGGAUUGGAGUCUGCAACUCGACUCCAUGAAGUCGGAAUCGCUAGUAAUCGUAGAUCAGAAUGCUACGGUGAAUACGUUCCCGGGCCUUGUACACACCGCCCGUCACACCAUGGGAGUGGGUUGCAAAAGAAGUAGGUAGCUUAACCUUCGGGAGGGCGCUUACCACUUUGUGAUUCAUGACUGGGGUGAAGUCGUAACAAGGUAACCGUAGGGGAACCUGCGGUUGGAUC